AUGGCGUUGCAUUGGUUAGAAGCUGUACUCCCUCUCGGAAUCAUUGCCGGAAUGCUCUGUGUUGCCGGAAACGCUCAGUACUACAUCCACAGAGCUGCUCACGGACGACCAAAGCACAUCGGUAACGACUUGUGGGAUGUCGCCAUGGAACGAAGGGACAAGAAGCUCGUCGAUCAGGCUUCUAAUUAA